GGGAGAAUUUGCAGGGUGCUGGUCAGACUGGCUCCAUAACUGAGGAAGAAAGGCCCUGAUCCAACUCCCUCUGGGCACUGGGAGAAGGAUUGGGCUCCUGAAUAAAGGUCAGAGGUUUAUCGACCUCUGAGGCCUUGAUUCUCUUGAAGCAUAAAGGGGCCUUCAAGUGAGCAGGAAUAAUCUGAGACCCGCCCCCUACGCAGGGCGCCUUUACUGGCCGGCACAGAGCUGCGCUUUGGGGUCCGCACACUCCCUGCUCCCAGCCCCCAGUAUAGGGAGAUUGGUGGUGUGGAUGGAGAGUACGGCUGCCACCUGUCUGGGUCCUCCCAGGAUUGGCCCAGAUGAAAGGGUUUGGUUUUUUUGUUUCUCAGGAGUGACAACCCUUGCCCCCCAGGGCCGACAGGGGGCGGAUUCGAGUGUGGUCAGAGCACACUGCGUUGGGGCUAUUCCCUGCCCCAGGGCUGACAGGGGGCGGAUCGGGGUGUGGUCAGAGCACACUGCGUUGGGGCUAUUCCCUGCUCCAUAGGAGACAGAGCAGCCCUGAGAACGGGGCCCAGUGGAAGCAUUUCAGCAUCGCUCUGUCGUGGAUUGAUCCAGGACUAAUGGCAGAGCUGCGCAAGGGGGUGGAAGAGCAGGGCUGGCUGCAGGUGAUGACUGAAGGACGUGGGCAGAGCUCUGGGACUGUUUGCCUCAGUGAGAACUGGUUGGGAAGAGGAAUUUCAGGUUUACAGGAAGUUCCAUGAUUUCAACCAUUUUGCCGUUCCGGCACUAAACCGAAAACAUUCAAAAUUUCAUUUUGAUCGAAAUGUUUCAUUUCAAUAAAAUCAAAACAGUUCGUUCCGAUUUUGACAUUUAAAAAUUUUUUUU